rnacentral:rRNA from 1 species
CGGGAGGAAGGAGGGGACGACGUCUGGUCAGCACGGCCCUUACGGCCUGGGCGACACACGUGCUACAAUGCCCACUACAAAGCGAUGCCACCCGGCAACGGGGAGCUAAUCGCAAAAAGGUGGGCCCAGUUCGGAUUGGGGUCUGCAACCCGACCCCAUGAAGCCGGAAUCGCUAGUAAUCGCGGAUCAGCCAUGCCGCGGUGAAUACGUUCCCGGGCCUU